AGAGUUUGAUCCUGGCUCAGGACGAACGCUGGCGGCGCGCCUAACACAUGCAAGUCGAACGAGCGAGAGAGAGCUUGCUUUCUCGAGCGAGUGGCGAACGGGUGAGUAACGCGUGAGGAACCUGCCUCAAAGAGGGGGACAACAGUUGGAAACGACUGCUAAUACCGCAUAAGCCCACGACCCGGCAUCGGGUAGAGGGAAAAGGAGCAAUCCGCUUUGAGAUGGCCUCGCGUCCGAUUAGCUAGUUGGUGAGGUAACGGCCCACCAAGGCGACGAUCGGUAGCCGGACUGAGAGGUUGAACGGCCACAUUGGGACUGAGACACGGCCCAGACUCCUACGGGAGGCAGCAGUGGGGAAUAUUGCACAAUGGGGGAAACCCUGAUGCAGCGACGCCGCGUGGAGGAAGAAGGUUUUCGGAUUGUAAACUCCUGUCGUUAGGGACGAUAAUGACGGUACCUAACAAGAAAGCACCGGCUAACUACGUGCCAGCAGCCGCGGUAAAACGUAGGGUGCAAGCGUUGUCCGGAAUUACUGGGUGUAAAGGGAGCGCAGGCGGGAAGACAAGUUGGAAGUGAAAUCCAUGGGCUCAACCCAUGAACUGCUUUCAAAACUGUUUUUCUUGAGUAGUGCAGAGGUAGGUGGAAUUCCCGGUGUAGCGGUGGAAUGCGUAGAUAUCGGGAGGAACACCAGUGGCGAAGGCGACCUACUGGGCACCAACUGACGCUGAGGCUCGAAAGCAUGGGUAGCAAACAGGAUUAGAUACCCUGGUAGUCCAUGCCGUAAACGAUGAUUACUAGGUGUUGGAGGAUUGACCCCUUCAGUGCCGCAGUUAACACAAUAAGUAAUCCACCUGGGGAGUACGACCGCAAGGUUGAAACUCAAAGGAAUUGACGGGGGCCCGCACAAGCAGUGGAGUAUGUGGUUUAAUUCGAAGCAACGCGAAGAACCUUACCAGGUCUUGACAUCCGAUGCAUAGUGCAGAGAUGCAUGAAGUCCUUCGGGACAUCGAGACAGGUGGUGCAUGGUUGUCGUCAGCUCGUGUCGUGAGAUGUUGGGUUAAGU
rnacentral:rRNA from 1 species